UUUAGAAACUGAAAGAAAGUUUAUUUUUGCCUGAAUUUUUGUAGAAUAAUUAACUCAUAUUUUUUAUUAAUUAAUAUUAAAAAAUAUUUUAAAAAUAAUUUUGAAGACAUGAAAGGAUUAGUGUAAUACGACUCUCAAUUCUUUUCGGGCUUUGAAUUCAGUAACUUCAAGGAAUUCAAUUCCCUUUCCCAGACCCUCAAAUCCACUCUCUAAUUGCUUCCUUUCCGUAAUACAUCACUCUUCCAAACCUUCUCGUUUCCUUCCUAUUUGCAUCUCAUAUCCCACCAAACAAUCCAAUUCCAUCUAUCAACUAUCCUCACUUUCCACCACGGAAUUGGGUGGGAAUUCAAACGGAAGUGUUGGUGAAGAUGAAUUAGCGGGGAUGGCUGUGCAAGCUGGAAAUCUCAUUGUUCCCUCGUUUAUUCAGCCGUCUAUCAAGCUCAGUUUUAAUGACCAAGCUUUUUCUCUUGUCAUUUACGGCUUGCACGGCAAUGGGGAGAGCUGCAAUGUCUCUUUCAAAGAUAGCAGAUACAGCUCGUGAGGAACUCCCUAGUACAAUGGCUGCAAUUAGGCUUUCAGGCAUGGAGAUCAGUGAUCUGACAUUGGAAUUAAGCGAUUUGAGGUGACAAUAAUAUCUGUAUUAUUCACUUUGCUUGAUAUUAAUUUAUUACCUCUCUACUUCUCCCUUCUGGCUUCCUUUUUCCUCUCUCUGUUGUCUCAUUUGAUAAAACUUGUGUCUUGCAAGAAAAGAUGGUUUUGCUUGACCCAAUAAAAGGACGCCACUAUGAGAUUGUCACAUAUCAAACAGGAGAGGGAGGGGGAAAGUUGGAAAGGUUAUUCAAAUUAGGCAAGAUUAAUUUUCUAUUUGUCUAUUAUGCACUAAAAAUUGAUGAGUUCCAUUUUUGUUGCCGCUGAAAGGGAAGAAAGAAAAAAAGAAAAGAAAUAAAAGAUAAUAUUACCUUAUUGCGCCA